rnacentral:rRNA from 1 species
UUGACGGGGCCCGCACAAGCGGUGAGUAUGUGGUUAAUUCGAUGCAACGCGAAGAACCUUACCUGGUCUUGACAUCCCGGAGACCCUUAGGAAACUAGGGGGUGCUUCCAUCUGGAAGAAUCUGGAGACAGGUGCUGCAUGGCUGUCGUCAGCUCGUGUCGUGAGAUGUUGGGUUAAGUCCCGCAACGAGCGCAACCCUUGCCUUUAGUUGCCAGCAGUUCGGCUGGGCACUCUAAAGGGACUGCCGGUGUUAAACCGGAGGAAGGUGGGGAUGACGUCAAGUCCUCAUGGCCUUUAUGACCAGGGCUACACACGUACUACAAUGGCCGAUACAAAGGGCAGCGACACUGCGAGGUGAAGCCAAUCCCGUAAAAUCGGUCUCAGUCCGGAUUGGAGUCUGCAACUCGACUCCAUGAAGUUGGAAUCGCUAGUAAUCGUGGAUCAGCAUGCCACGGUGAAUACGUUCCCGGGCCUU